UGGUAGAGAUAUCAUAGCUAGACAAUAGUCUGUAUCGAGGUGCUGCAUGGUUGGUCGUCAGCUCGUGCCGUGAGGUGUCGGCUUAAGUGCCAUAACGAGCGCAACCCUUGUCGUUAGUUACCAUCAGGUUAUGCUGGGGACUCUAACGAGACUGCCACCGUAAGGUGUGAGGAAGGGGGGGAUGACGUCAAAUCAGCACGGCCCUUACGUCCGGGGCGACACACGUGUUACAAUGGUAGGUACAGAGGGCAGCUACCCAGUGAUGGGAUGCGAAUCUCGAAAGCCUAUCUCAGUUCGGAUUGGAGUCUGCAACUCGACUCCAUGAAGUUGGAUUCGCUAGUAAUCGCGCAUCAGCCAUGGCGCGGUGAAUACGUUCCCGGGCCUU
rnacentral:rRNA from 1 species